rnacentral:rRNA from 1 species
AUGUUGCUGAUGCAGGCUGCCCUUGGCAAGGUGGCGAAAGUGCCGCCCGAGGAGCUCGAUGAGGAGGUCAAGAUCUGGGCAGGAAUGGUAAGGGACCUGGCCUACCAAAUGGAAGACAUCGUCGAUGUCUUCAUUGUGUGUGUGGGUGAUUUAUCUGCCAGCCCAAAGAAUAGAGUGAAGAAGUUUCUUAAGAAGACAUGCAAGUUAUUCAAGAAGGGCAUAGAUCUUCAUCGAAUCUACGAUGCUCUAGAAGAAGCAGUUACUCGGGCUAAGCAGUCGGCUGAGCUGCGCCAAAGGUACGAGCUCGAGACACUGAACACCCGCAUUGGUGCUAGCAUUGAUCCUCGCACCAUAGCUCUGUACACAGAUGUGAGAGAGCUUGCCGGCAUUGAAGAACCACGAGACGAGUUGAUCAACAAGUUACUUCAAGGUGAUGAUUGGUCGAAGAAUCCGUUGAAGACAGUCUCUGUUGUUGGAUUUGGUGGGUUAGGCAAGACAACCCUUGCUAAAACAGUGUAUGACAAGAUCAAAGUGCAAUUUGAGUGUAGUGCUUUUGUUUCGGUUUCUCGGAAUCCCAACAUGAAAAAAAUCUUGAAGAAUAUCCUUUUUGAGCUCGACAAGAAAAUGCAUUCAAACAUACAUAAUACGUCACGAGAAGAAAAGCAUCUCAUCGACGAACUCAUUGAAUUUCUUAAUGACAAAAGGUAUGCUUAUGUUUUCAUGCUAUAG